rnacentral:lncRNA from 1 species
UUUUAAAUGUUAUUUUUUUCUGUUUUAGAUGUUAUUUUGCUGUUAAAUGUUGUUUGUUUUUGUCGUUUACAGAAUAUAUUAACGGUGACGUUUGAAGCAGAGGGCAGCGUCUCUGAGGACAGUUUAAAUGUGUUUAUUCAGAAUCUUUUAUGGGAGAAGAUGUUUAAGAAUAAAGCGGGUUUAGCUAUGAACGUUAUUCGCUUAAAGGUCGUAAUCUGGAUGGAGAGAUUUUGAAGAGGGAGUUCCUCGCUCUGCUCUCGGACGACAGGAAUGAAUGAAGGAAUAAUAAAGUGAAAUUGCUGAUCUGGGGUCA